rnacentral:rRNA from 1 species
UACGAGUGCCCCAAGCGUUAUCCGGAAUCAUUGGGCGUAAAGGGUGUGUAGGCGGUUGCGUUAGUCUUUUGUUAAAGCUCCCGGCUUAACCGGGAAAGUGCAAGAGAUACGGCACAACUAGAGGAUGCGAGAGGUGAACGGAACUCAUAGUGUAGGGGUGAAAUCCGUUGAUAUUAUGGGGAACACCAAAUGCGAAGGCAGUUCACUGGCGCAUUCCUGACGUUGAAACACGAAAGCGUGGGUAGCGAACAGG